UCGUGGAGUGAUUUGUCUGGUCUAUUCCGAUAACGAGCGAGACCCCGACGUUCCUACUAGGGUUAGCAGCCAAGCUUGCGUUCACUCGCUCGCUAGCAGCUAGCUCCCAAUUGCUUCUUAGACGGAUCAGAGCCGAUAAGGUUCUUGAAAUGGGUUAAUAACA
rnacentral:rRNA from 1 species